AAAAAAAAAAAGAUCGACUCGCCUAAGAAAGACAGAGGGAGAAGCAGAGGUGACGGCCUUCCUGCAUCCAAUCAUCCGGUCUCCAAGCUGACCCUGGCUCUCACCACCUCCGCAAACCCUCACCUCCAUCACUGCCCCGGGCAUUUGGACCAGCACCACUGGCUCAGAGCACAUCCCACAGAACGGAGCACCUUCCCGACCUCUUUGGAGAGUUUGCCAUGCAAGAGGGCAGGCCAUGAACUUGGCAAAUGGCUGAGGGAGGGACACUCUUGGUGGCAAACCACACUAAGAAUCAAAAGGCAAAAGGCAAGCCCCAUGAGCUUCCAGUCAGGUGUGACUGCUUUAGAAGGGUUUCCUGUCUACAAGGACGCCUUCAACAGACAUCUGACCCUGGCUCUCAAGUCCUUAGAGGUACCUUAGACACUCUGGCCAUGGUCCCAUUUUCUCCCAAGGGCUCCUACAUCCAGUGAUGAGCAGAAAGGAGGUGUGAGGACUGGACCAACUUAGCUCCGCCUUGGACCAGUUUCAGACAUCAGCUGUCUUUGUGACUCGCCCUAGUGGACUUCCCUAAAGACUGCAUCAUGGGGUAACUUCCCCUUCUGCCUGCUGCUGGCUUCUCCUCUCCCUCAAACGUGGAUCUGUGGACUCUCACUACUAAGAAUCCUGCACAUGGAACGCCAUUAGAGUCAGCUUCCUGGGGGACCCUGUGUGUGACAGAGACUGUGAGCAAGCAUUGCUUCAACUGGCAAUCUAGAUGGAGACUGUGAGCCUUCCGUUCUUUCUGUCUUCUCAAGUCUUGGCAGGCGGGCCAGUGUGUUUUUCUGGAACUUCGGGCUUGCAAAGUGCUCUCCAGUCACUUGAGAGAAUCCAAGUUUGUUAAUGGCAGGACGAAAAAGGGUUCUAUUCAUCAGGAGAGACAACAUACAUAAUAUUGAACUAUUGAAGAAUUAUGACUUUGCUCUGAGUACCUAUGAAAUGCCUCUUAUGUGGGUGCAGAGAUGCUUGUUAGGGACCUAGGCUGUGAAUGCUGAGUCCGCAAGGGGGAAAUUCUGUAAGUCAGGAAAUAAGGAAGUUUCCAGAAUAAACAUUAGCUAGCCCUAGUUACACAUGUGGUGCUUUGGGCCCUCAUAUGACUUCUGAAGAUUUUUCUAAAGGGUCUUUUAAGAUCUGAUGGAUGGUCAUUUUAUUGAAUCAGACGUACUUGUAAUAUGGCUUAAUUUGUAGACUUAAGAUUCUGAUGGGCCUGCUGUAGUUGGAGACAAAUGAGACACCAGUUCCUCCACCAACAUUACCAGUGCGGGCAUUUGAAAACCCAUUUCUCUUCUCCUGUGGACCAAAUACAGGCCUUAGGCUUUUGGAGGUCUCAGGCAGUUCCUAUCAUCAGGCUGCCUAACAUUCACUUGGAAGCCAGGGACGUGCAACAGCAAGUGCUCCUGCAUUCGAUUGGACAUGCCUAGUUGAGGGCCAUCUGGUAGAUGGCUGAUGUAGUUGGUCUCAACUCAGCUCUGCCUCCUACAUCCCUCACCAUCCAGCGAGCUAGCUGGGACAUACAUCCUAGAGAUGCCAGAAGCCACAAUAGACAAGCCGCUUUGAGCUUCUCUGUCACAGCUAUUAGCAGCCCAGUAGCUGAAGCAAGUCACGUGACUGAGCUACCAUCCAGAAGUGGGGUGACACAGACUGACACACCCGCUGUGAGAAGGCACUGCAGAGUCCCAUGGAAACAGCACAGAUGAAAGAAGGGGUGAGCCUUGUGGCCAUCUAGAAGCUACCACAGGCAUGGAUGGAUUCCUCUUGAAAAGAAACAAAGGCAAAAACAAAUGUUAUCAAUGCAUGCAUUCAACUUGAGAAAACAGGAAAGGAAAUAAGGAAGUUUCCAGAACAAGUAUUAUUAGCCGUCUCUAGUUACACACGAGGAGCUUUUGACCCACAUGUGACUUUUGAAUAUUUUUCUAAAAGAACUCCUAAGGUCACAUUAUCAAAUCAUACACGAUACCAUGUUAAGGCCAACCCACCUACCUUUUAGAAUAGUUCCUAGACCAAAGAUCAUGGUGAAAUGUUUCCUCGGCUUUGCUGAGGUAUGAGUGACAGAUAAACACUGUGUGUAUUUAAGAUGAGACACACGGGGUUUUGACAUAUGUAUACAGUCCUGUCUGUCACCUCACAUGGCUCCUUUUGUGUGUACUAGGUCACUUAAUUUGAUAUUCUUAGCAAAUGUCAUGUAGUGCCUAAAAUUCCAUCGUGCUCUCUUUUUUUCUUUUUUAGUAUGUGUUUAUGUAUCUGUAUCUGUGUGUGGGUAUGUGCACAUGAGUACAGCUGUCCGGAGGCCAGAAGACGGUGUCGGAGCUCUUGGAGCUGAAGUUAUGGGCUGUUGUGAAUCGCCUGGUGUGGGGGCUGGGAACAGAACUCAGUCCGUGCAUUAAAUCACCGAAGCCUCUCUCCCCCUCCAGCCCACAGUAUUCUCUGAGCAAUCAUUGUUUUUCCAACUGAAGUUUGAUAAUAUUGAAUGGAAAAUUACAGAAAUAAACAACUCCUAAGUUUUAAA